GAUGAACGCUGGCGGCGUGCUUAACACAUGCCAGUCGAACGGAAAGGCUCCUGCUUGCAGGGGUACUCGAGUGGCGAACGGGUGAGUAACACGUGGGUGAUCUGCCCUGCACUUCGGGAUAAGCCUGGGAAACUGGGUCUAAUACCGGACAGGACGAUGGUUUGGAUGCCAUUGUGGAAAGUUUUUCGGUGUGGGAUGAGCUCGCGGCCUAUCAGCUUGUUGGUGGGGUAAUGGCCUACCAAGGCGUCGACGGGUAGCCGGCCUGUGAGGGUGUACGGCCACAUUGGGACUGAGAUACGGCCCAGACUCCUACGGGAGGCAGCAGUGGGGAAUAUUGCACAAUGGGCGCAAGCCUGAUGCAGCGACGCCGCGUGGGGGAUGACGGCCUUCGGGUUGGAAACUCCUUUCGCUAGGGACGAAGCGCAAGUGACGGUACCUGGAGAAGAAGCACCGGCUAACUACGUG
rnacentral:rRNA from 1 species